rnacentral:rRNA from 1 species
GACGAACGCUGGCGGCGUGCUUGACACAUGCAAGUCGAACGGAAAGGCCUGCUUUCCCUUGUGGAUUGCGGGUACUCGAGUGGCGAACGGGUGAGUAACACGUGAGUGAUCUGCCCCCAACUUGGGUAUAAGCCUGGGAAACUGGGUCUAAUUCCCGAUAGGACUGCAGGGUGGUGCCUGUGGUGGAAAACGAUUUUCUAGUGGUUGGGGAUGAGCUCGCGGCCUAUCAGCUUGUUGGUGGGGUAAUGGCCUACCAAGGCGGCGACGGGUAGCCGGCCUGAGAGGGUGGACGGCCACAUUGGGACUGAGAUACGGCCCAGACUCCUACGGGAGGCAGCAGUGGGGAAUAUUGCACAAUGGGCGGAAGCCUGAUGCAGCGACGCCGCGUGGGGGAUGACGGCCUUCGGGUGGUAAACUCCUUUCGACCGCGAGGAAGCCACCUGGUUGGAAGGGUGGUGACGGUAGUGGUAGAAGAAGCACCGGCUAACUACGUG